CUAUGUUCACGUUACAUUUUUGUGUUUCAACAGUUCAAACCAUAAAAACAGACUGCGCUCUGCGAACUCUGUACCUUACGCUUGUGAAGUGGAGCGACUACCUGCUGUGCUCCUUGCAAGCUACAAGACAUGGUUAAUUCACUGCAGUAGUACAGUAGCUACCGGGGACGCAGCUGCAGCGACCGCUCCUCCUCGACUCGACAAAAACAAAAACAGUGAGAGUCGUGCAUAGAAGUAGCCUACUUUGCCUUGGAGGCGGGCCAUCAGGGAUUAAUGAUAAACUCGCAAAAACCAGUAUGCAGACGGUGCCAUCGAAUUUUUCAGACGAAAGGAGGAAACACAACGCAGCGAAGCACCUCAAAGACAGACAUCCACUUAUUCAAAGAAUUCAAGUAUCAGCCAGAGGAGGAUGUCGACCAGGAGAGGCAAGAGCAAAGUCAACAAACACAUACACAGCCAACCAUAUCAGAAGCUUUUCGGAGACACU